UUUAUAUGCAAGUUUUAGCGUUUUUGGUAAAGCUUUAAAUAAGUUAAUUAUUAGUAUGUAUUUAUAUAUCCGCAGUAUAAAGUAUUGAAUAUUUAAGAGUUUAAGAUUCAGGGAUUUAGAAUAGUAUUGACAAAAUUUGUGCCAGCAGUUGCGGUUAAACAGGUGAUGCAAUCAAAUUGGUUCGGUUAAUAGUAAAAAAAAAUAUAAUAUAUUAGUUUAAGAUUAAAUUUAUUAAGUGAAAUUUUUAAGUUUAAGUAGAAGCUAUAAAUUUUAUUUUAAGUCUAUGAGAUUUUUAUUUUAGACUAGGAUUAGAUACCCUAUUAUUAAAAAUGUAAAUUUAUGUGCUUGAGUAGUAGUAGUUAUGUUCUUGAAAUUUAAAGAAUUUGGCGGUAUUUUAGUCCAUUCAGAGGAACCUGUCCUAUAAUUGAUGAUCCACGAUUAAUUUAACUUAUUUUAGAGGUUUGUAUACCGUCGUAGUUUGAAUGUUUUUAAAGAAUUAAAAUGUUCAAGAUUUAUUAUAUUAAAGGAAAUCAGAUCAAGGUACAGCGUAUAAAUAAGUAGAGAUGGGUUACAAUAAGUUUACUUAAAUGGUUAUAGUAAUUAAAAUUAUUAUAUAAAGUGGAUUUGAAGGUAAUAUAGUUUAGUUAAAUUAUAUGAUUUUGGCUCUAAAAUAUGUACAUAUCGCCCGUCGCUCCCUUUCCAAAGAGGGAUAAGUCGUAACAUAGUGGGCGUACUGGAAAGUGUGCCUGGUACGG
rnacentral:ncRNA from 1 species